rnacentral:misc_RNA from 1 species
GUGAAUCAUCAAAUCUUUGAACGCAAAUUGCACUCUCCUCGGAGAGUAUGCCUUUUUGAUGGUCGGCCUAUAAAAAAUCGACAUCGUUGCUGUUUCGCGGUGGCUUUCGUCGGAAAUUGUGUUAUCUUACAUCUUUUGGUUUUUAGCGACUUGAAAUUUUCUUUUUGAUUCCAGGAACGUUUCUAAGAUUUAUUUCUUUACACUUUUAAGGUAUCGAUUUUUAUUAAACGUUACCAUCAUAUCGAAUCACGCCCAUACU